UUAGGUAGUUGGUCAGGUAAAGGCUUCCGAAGCCAAUGAUGCUUAUCUGGUCAUUUCGGAUGAUCAACCACACUGGGACUGAGACACGGCCCGGACUCCCACGAGGGGCAGGAGUGGGGAAUCAGUGACAAUGGGAGAAAGCCCGAUCCAGCAAUAUCGCAUGAGUGAAGAAGGGCAAUGCCACUUUUAAAGCUCUUUCGUCGAGUGCGUGAUCAUGACAGGACUCGAGGAAGAAGCCUCGGCUAACUCCGUGCCAACAGCCGCGGUAAGACGGGGCAGGGCAAGUGUUCUUCAGAAUGACCGGGCAUAAAGGGUACGUAGGCGGUGAAUCGAGUUUAAAGUGAAAGUCGCCAAAGUGGCAGAAUGCUCUCGAAACCAAUUCACCUAGGUGAGACAGAGGAGAGUGGAAUUUUGUGUGUAGGGGUGAAAUCUAUAGAUCUAUGAAGGAACGCCGAAAGCAAAGGUAGCUCUCUGGGUCCCUACCGACAUUGGGGUGCAAAAGCAUGGGGAGAAAACAUGAUUAGAUACCCUGGUAGUCCAUGUGGUAAACGAUGAGUGUUCGCCCUUAGUCUACACGGAUCAGGGGCCGAGCAAACGCAUGAAAACUUUGCCCGGGGAGUACGGUCGCAAGACCGAAACUCAAAGGAAUUGACGGGGGCCUGCACAAGCGGUGGAGCCUGUGGUUUAAUUCGAUACAACACGCAAAACCUUACCAGCCCUUGACAUAUGAACAACAAAAGCCUCCUUAACAGGAUGGUACUGACUUUCAUACAUAUGCUACAUGGCUGUCGUCAGGUCGUGUCGUGAGAUGUUUGGUCAAGUUCUAUAACAAGCGAAACCCUCGUUUUGUGUUGCUGAUACAUGCGCCCAAGCAAAAAUUGCCACCAAAGUGAGCCGAGGAGCCGGGUGACGUGCCAACGCUACUACUUGA
rnacentral:rRNA from 1 species